GUGAGGAAUAUUGCGCAAUGGAGGCAACUCUGACGCAGCCAUGCCGCGUGCAGGAAGAAGGCGCUACGCGUUGUAAACUGCUUUUAACCGGGAAGAAACCCCAGGACGUGUCCUGGGUUGACGGUACCGGAGGAAUAAGCACCGGCUAACUUCGUGCCAGCAGCCGCGGUAAUACGAAGGGUGCAAGCGUUAUCCGGAUUCAUUGGGUUUAAAGGGUGCGUAGGCGGAGCGUUAAGUCAGUGGUGAAAUCCUGCAGCUUAACUGUAGACUUGCCAUUGAUACUGGCGCUCUGGGGUGCGCUUGAAGGGGGCGGAAUGUGCCGUGUAGCGGUGAAAUGCUUAGAUAUGGCACAGAACACCAAUUGCGAAGGCAGCUCACUAAGGCGAUACUGACGCUGAGGCACGAAAGCGUGGGGAUCGAACAGGAUUAGAUACCCCAGUAGUCC
rnacentral:rRNA from 1 species